rnacentral:snRNA from 1 species
CGAAAUUAUAGUGAUUGGCCACCGCAGUGGAUGUAGUACCAUUACAAGUCUAGCGACACUUGAUACGGAUAUGUGCUAAAAACCAAGCGCAAAAGCUCUGCAUG